rnacentral:rRNA from 1 species
UACGGAGGGGGCUAGCGUUGUUCGGAAUUACUGGGCGUAAAGCGUAUGUAGGCGGCUUUGUAAGUUAGAGGUGAAAGCCCAGAGCUCAACUCUGGAAUUGCCUUUAAGACUGCAUCGCUUGAAUCGUGGAGAGGUUAGUGGAAUUCCGAGUGUAGAGGUGAAAUUCGUAGAUAUUCGGAAGAACACCAGUGGCGAAGGCGACUAACUGGACACGUAUUGACGCUGAGGUACGAAAGCGUGGGGAGCAAACAGG